GGGUUUAUUGGAGAAUGUGUGGGUGGGUAGUAUGACAUACCGGGUGUUUUCUUUUCUUCGUCGAUGUUGACGUCUAUCAUGUGGGUUUUUCUACGCGUGGUUUGCUUUUAUAUAUUGUCGUGCUUAUGUUAGAUGGUGUGUAAUCGUUAAAUGUAUAUUGUGUCUGAGUUGUAAAUGUGCGUUGAAUAAUAGAUACGCAAGAGUUCGU
rnacentral:lncRNA from 1 species